rnacentral:rRNA from 1 species
GACGAACGCUGGCGGCGUGCCUAACACAUGCAAGUCGAACGGAAACGCCCUGCUUUUGUGGGGUGCUCGAGUUGCGAACGGGUGAGUAACACGUGAGUUACCUGCCCCUGACUUUGGGAUAACUUCAGGAAACUUGGGCUAAUACCGGAUAGGAGCUCUUGCUGCAUGGUGGGGGCUGGAUAGUUUCGGUGGUUGGGGAUGGACUCGCGGCUUAUCAGCUUGUUGGUGGGGUAGUGGCUUACCAAGGCUUUGACGGGUAGCCGGCCUGAGAGGGUGACCGGCCACGUUGGGACUGAGAUACGGCCCAGACUCCUACGGGAGGCAGCAGUGGGGAAUAUUGCACAAUGGGCGGAAGCCUGAUGCAGCAACGCCGCGUGCGGGAUGACGGCCUUCGGGUUGUAAACCGCUUUCGCCUGUGACGAAGCGUGAGUGACGGUAAUGGGUAAAGAAGCACCGGCUAACUACGUG